UGAGGAAUAUUGCGCAAUGGGCGAAAGCCUGACGCAGCCACGCCGCGUGGAGGAAGACACCCCUAUGGGGCGUAAACUCCUUUUGUGUGAGAAGAAGGCCCUGGUCUCCAGGGUUUGACGGUAUCGCACGAAUAAGCACCGGCUAACUCCGUGCCAGCAGCCGCGGUAAUACGGAGGGUGCAAGCGUUGUCCGGAUUCGCUGGGUGUAAAGGGUGUGUAGGCGGGCCUGUAAGUCAGGGGUGAAAUCCCACGGCUCAACCGUGGAACCGCCUUUGAUACUGCAGGUCUUGAGUCUCGGAGGGGUUGCUGGAAUUCGUGGUGUAGCGGUGAAAAUGCGUAGAUAUCACGAGGAACACCAGAGGCGUAGGCGGGCAACUGGACGAGUACUGACGCUGAGGCACGAAAAGCGUGGGGAGCAAACAGGAUUAGAUACCCUGGAGUCCACGCUGUAAACGAUGGAUGCUCGAUGUUGCCCGUUACC
rnacentral:rRNA from 1 species